GUAUGACCUGUCAGCCUCUACAUUCUCUCCUGAUGGAAGAGUUUUUCAAGUUGAAUAUGCUAUGAAAGCUGUGGAAAAUAGUAGCUAUUGGAAUCAGAUGUAAAGAUGGCGUUGUCUUUGGGGUAGAAAAGUUAGUCCUUUCUAAACUUUAUGAAGAAGGUUCCAACAAACGACUUUUUAAUGUUGAUCGGCAUGUUGGAAUGGCAGUAGCAGGUUUGCUGGCGGAUGCGCGAUCUUUAGCAGACAUUGCAAGAGAAGAAGCUUCCAACUUCAGAUCUAAUUUUGGCUAUAACAUUCCA